rnacentral:rRNA from 1 species
UUGGUUAAGUUAGAAAGGGCGCACGGUGGAUGCCUUGGCACUAGGAGCCGAAGAAGGACGGGACUAACACCGAUAUGCUUUGGGGAGCUGUACGUAAGCGUUGAUCCAGAGAUUUCCGAAUGGGGGAACCCACUAUCUUUAGUCGGAUAGUAUCCUUACGUGAAUACAUAGCGUGAGGAAGGCAGACCCAGGGAACUGAAACAUCUAAGUACCUGGAGGAAGAGAAAGAAAAAUCGAUUUCCUGAGUAGCGGCGAGCGAAACGGAAAGAGCCCAAACCAAGAAGCUUGCUUCUUGGGGUUGUAGGACACUCUAUACGGAGUUACAAAAGAAAGUUAUAAAUGAAGCGGUCUGGAAAGGCCCGCCAAAGACGGUAACAGCCCGGUAGUUGAAAUAGCUUUCCCUCCAGAGUGGAUCCUGAGUACGGCGGAACACGUGAAAUUCCGUCGGAAUCCGGGAGGACCAUCUCCCAAGGCUAAAUACUCCCUAGUGACCGAUAGUGAACCAGUACCGUGAGGGAAAGGUGAAAAGCACCCCGGAAGGGGAGUGAAACAGUUCCUGAAACCGUGUGCCUACAAGUAGUUAGAGCCCGUUAAUGGGUGAUAGCGUGCCUUUUGUAGAAUGAACCGGCGAGUUACGAUUUGUUGCAAGGUUAAGCGGAAAAAGCGGAGCCGUAGCGAAAGCGAGUCUGAAUAGGGCGCAUAAGUAACAGGUCGUAGACCCGAAACCAGGUGAUCUACCCAUGUCCAGGAUGAAGGUAAGGUAAUACUUACUGGAGGUCCGAACCCACGCACGUUGAAAAGUGCGGGGAUGAGGUGUGGGUAGCGGAGAAAUUCCAAUCGAACUUGGAGAUAGCUGGUUCUCUCCGAAAUAGCUUUAGGGCUAGCCUCGAGGUAAAGAGUCAUGGAGGUAGAGCACUGUUUGGACUAGGGGCCCUUCUCGGGUUACCGAAUUCAGAUAAACUCCGAAUGCCAUGUACUUAUACUCGGGAGUCAGACUGCGAGUGAUAAGAUCCGUAGUCGAAAGGGAAACAGCCCAGACCACCAGUUAAGGUCCCCAAAUAUAUGUUAAGUGGAAAAGGAUGUGGGGUUGCUUAGACAACCAGGAUGUUGGCUUAGAAGCAGCCACCAUUGAAAGAGUGCGUAAUAGCUCACUGGUCGAGUGACCCCGCGCCGAAAAUGUACCGGGGCUAAACAUAUUACCGAAACUGUGGAUGAACCUCUUUGGAGGUUCGUGGUAGGAGAGCGUUCUAAGGGCGGUGAAGUCAGACCGGAAGGACUGGUGGAGCGCUUAGAAGUGAGAAUGCCGGUAUGAGUAGCGAAAGAAGGGUGAGAAUCCCUUCCACCGAAUAUCUAAGGUUUCCUGAGGAAGGCUCGUCCGCUCAGGGUUAGUCGGGACCUAAGCCGAGGCCGAUAGGCGUAGGCGAUGGACAACAGGUAGAGAUUCCUGUACCAGUGCUAAUUGUUUAACCGAUGGGGUGACACAGAAGGAUAGGGAAUCGCACGAAUGGAAAUGUGCGUCCAAGCAGUGAGUGUGAGAAGUAGGCAAAUCCGCUUCUCGCGAAGCAUGAGCUGUGAUGGGGAAGGAAAUAAAGUACGGAAGUUCCUGAUUUCACGCUGUCAAGAAAAGCCUCUAGGAAGAGUAGUACUGCCCGUACCGCAAACCGACACAGGUAGAUGAGGAGAGAAUCCUAAGGUGAGCGAGAGAACUCUCGUUAAGGAACUCGGCAAAAUGACCCCGUAACUUCGGGAGAAGGGGUGCUCUAUUAGGGUGCAAGCCCGAGAGAGCCGCAGUGAAUAGGCCCAGGCGACUGUUUAGCAAAAACACAGGUCUCUGCAAAACCGUAAGGUGACGUAUAGGGGCUGACGCCUGCCCGGUGCUGGAAGGUUAAGAGGAGUGCUUAGCUUCGGCGAAGGUACGAAUUGAAGCCCCAGUAAACGGCGGCCGUAACUAUAACGGUCCUAAGGUAGCGAAAUUCCUUGUCGGGUAAGUUCCGACCCGCACGAAAGGCGCAACGAUCUGGGCACUGUCUCAACGAGAGACUCGGUGAAAUUAUAGUACCUGUGAAGAUGCAGGUUACCCGCGACAGGACGGAAAGACCCCGUGGAGCUUUACUGCAACCUGAUAUGGAAUGUUUGUACCGCUUGUACAGGAUAGGUAGGAGCC